rnacentral:rRNA from 1 species
AUUUGGACAAUGGGGGNAACCCUGAUCCAGCCAUGCCGCGUGUGUGAAGAAGGCUUUCGGGUUGUAAAGCACUUUCAGUGAGGAAGAAAUCCUNGGGGUNAAUACCCUCNAGGNAAGACAUCACNCNCAGAAGAAGCACCGGCUAACUCCGUGCCAGCAGCCGCGGUAAUACGGAGGGUGCNAGCGUUAAUCGGAAUUACUGGGCGUAAAGCGCGCGUAGGUGGCNUGAUAAGCCGGUUGUGAAAGCCCCGGGCUCAACCUGGGAACGGCAUCCGGAACUGUCAGGCUAGAGUGCAGGAGAGGAAGGUAGAAUUCCCGGUGUAGCGGUGAAAUGCGUAGAGAUCGGGAGGAAUACCAGUGGCGAAGGCGGCCUUCUGGACUGACACUGACACUGAGGUGCGAAAGCGUGGGUAGCAAACAGGAUUAGAUACCCUGGUAGUCCACGCCGUAAACGAUGU